rnacentral:rRNA from 1 species
UACGUAGGGUGCAAGCGUUGUCCGGAAUUAUUGGGCGUAAAGAGCUCGUAGGCGGUUUGUCGCGUCUGCUGUGAAAAUCCAGGGCUUAACCCCGGGCCUGCAGUGGGUACGGGCAGACUAGAGUGCGGUAGGGGAGACUGGAAUUCCUGGUGUAGCGGUGAAAUGCGUAGAUAUCGUGAGGAACACCAGAGGCGAAGGCGGUUACCUGGACAGUUACUGACGCUCAGGCACGAAAGCGUGGGGAGCAAAAGGG